UACGUAGGGUGCGAGCGUUGUCCGGAAUUAUUGGGCGUAAAGGGCUCGUAGGCGGCCAACUAAGUCGGACGUGAAAUCCCUCAGCUUAACUGGGGAACUGCGUCCGAUACUGGAUGGCUUGGAUUUGGGAGAGGGAUGUGGAAUUCCAGGUGUAGCGGUGAAAUGCGUAGAUAUCUGGAGGAACACCGGUGGCGAAGGCGACAUCCUGGACCGGUAUUGACGCUGAGGCGCGAAAGCCAGGGGAGCAAACGGG
rnacentral:rRNA from 1 species